rnacentral:rRNA from 1 species
AUACGGAGGGUGCAAGCGUUACUCGGAAUCACUGGGCGUAAAGCGCGCGCAGGCGGUCUUUUAAGUUGGAUGUGAAAGCCUACGGCUCAACCGUAGAACUGCAUCCAAAACUAUUAGACUAGAGUGUGGGAGAGGAAGAUGGAAUUAGUUGUGUAGGGGUAAAAUCCGUAGAGAUAACUAGGAAUACCAAAAGCGAAGGCAAUCUUCUGGAACACUACUGACGCUGAGGCGCGAAGCGUGGGGAGCAAACAGGAUUAGAAACCCGAGUAGUCC